rnacentral:rRNA from 1 species
UACAGAGGUGACAAGCGUUGUUCGGAUUUACUGGGCGUAAAGGGUGCGUAGGUGGUGAUGUGUGUCGGAUGUGAAAUCUCGCUGCUCAACGGCGAACGUGCAUUCGAAACUACAUCGCUAGAGUACGGGAGAGGAGCGUGGAAUUCUUGGUGUAGCGGUGAAAUGCGUAGAUAUCAAGAAGAACACCGGUGGCGAAGGCGACGCUCUAGACCGAUACUGACACUGAGGCACGAAAGCUAGGGGAGCAAACAGG